rnacentral:rRNA from 1 species
ACGGAAGGCAGCAGUGGGGAAUAUUGGGCAAUGGGCGCAAGCCUGACCCAGCAACGCCGCGUGAAGGAAGAAGGCCUUCGGGUUGUAAACUUCUUUUAUCAAGGACGAUAAUGACGGUACUUGAUGAAUAAGCCACGGCUAACUACGUGCCAGCAGCCGCGGUAAUACGUAGGUGGCAAGCGUUAUCCGGAUUUACUGGGUGUAAAGGGCGUGUAGGCGGGAUCGCAAGUCAGAUGUGAAAAUUAUGGGCUCAACCCAUAACCUGCAUUUGAAACUGUGAUUCUUGAGUGAUGGAGAGGUAAGUGGAAUUCCCAGUGUAGCGGUGAAAUGCGUAGAUAUUGGGAGGAACACCAGUGGCGAAGGCGACUUACUGGACAUUAACUGACGCUGAGGCGCGAAAGCGUGGGGAGCAAACAGGAUUAGAUACCCUGGUA